UACGUAGGGACCAAGCGUUGUUCGGAUUUACUGGGCGUAAAGGGCGCGUAGGCGGCAAUUCAAGUCAGUUGUGAAAUCUCCGAGCUUAACUCGGAACGGUCAACUGAUACUGCUUUGCUAGAGUACAGAAGGGGCAAUCGGAAUUCUUGGUGUAGCGGUGAAAUGCGUAGAUAAUCUGGAGGAAUACCGGUGGCGAAGGCGGCAUCCUGGACCGACAUUGACGCUGAACGGCGAAAGCUAGGGGAGCAAACGGG
rnacentral:rRNA from 1 species